UUGGAACGUAGCUCAGUAGGAAGAGCAGCUGGCUUAUAUCCAGCGUUGUCGGUGGUUCAACUCCAUCCGUUCCGAUC
rnacentral:tRNA from 1 species